rnacentral:rRNA from 1 species
ACGUUAGCGGCGGACGGGUGAGUAACACGUGGGUAACCUACCUAUAAGACUGGGAUAACUUCGGGAAACCGGAGCUAAUACCGGAUAAUAUUUAGAACCGCAUGGUUCGAUAGUGAAAGANGGUUUUGCUAUCACUUAUAGAUGGACCCGCGCCGUAUUAGCUAGUUGGUAAGGUAACGGCUUACCAAGGCGACGAUACGUAGCCGACCUGAGAGGGUGAUCGGCCACACUGGAACUGAGACACGGUCCAGACUCCUACGGGAGGCAGCAGUA